UACGGGGGGGGCAAGCGUUGUUCGGAAUUACUGGGCGUAAAGGGCUCGUAGGCGGCCAACUAAGUCAUACGUGAAAUCCCUCGGCUUAACCGGGGAACUGCGUCUGAUACUGGAUGGCUUGAGAUUGGGAGAGGGAUGCGGAAUUCCAGGUGUAGCGGUGAAAUGCGUAGAUAUCUGGAGGAACACCGGUGGCGAAGGCGGAUCUCUGGGCCAUUACUGACGCUGAGGAGCGAAAGCGUGGGGAGCGAACAGG
rnacentral:rRNA from 1 species